AAAAAGAGAGGGCUAUCAUCGAAAAGUUCAUUCUUUGCCGAGUUCCUUGGAAGGAUGGUUGCAGGAAAGAAUCUUAAAGGUCUUUGUUUGCUCUUUUACUGUACUUGCAAUUAUUUAAUUAGAGGAUAUACCUCCACUAGCAAAAAGAAGAUUAUCAGUAAUUUUCCAGGAUUACAUAGAGAAAUGGACUUUUUUUGCAAGUCCUUAAUACUAUGUCAGCUUGUUAUAUCAUUAGCGCAUUUUCAAGUUAAUUUAUGAAGUCAAUCUGCAGCAAUUUCAACCUAUUUUAUUUUCAAUCUACUUCGGUGCAAAUCUACCUUAUUUUCAACCUACUGCGAAUCAAUAUACGUACUAAAUUCGAUUCACAGUGUGAACGAGUCUUCUAGCUCCCAGAACUUUCUAAGUAAGAACCAUAAAUGCAAUCUGAGCUAUGACGAGUAAUAAUCGUUACAAUGGAAUUUGUAUAGGUUUUACGUCUUAUUUAGAAUCAGUACAUCAUGGAAAAUUAUCAAGAAUGUAAUACUUUUAUGGAGGAAUACUGAUUAUCAUUACUUUCCAAGUAAAUUUACUAUAAUGUCAAUCAACUUCGUUUUCUUUAUUUUUUGAUGUCAAUCUAUUACAUUUGGGAUCUAUUAUGGAUCGAUCAACUUCCUUCAUUAUCAACUUACAACGCGAAAAUGUAUUUAAGAGCCACUGUAGAACAUCUUAAGUGAACACGAGAACACAGCAGAAGUGAUUAAACAAGGCAAAAGUCAAUUCAAUCGUAUUUCGAAACUAAAACAUGUCUUUAAAUACAAAAAAGGAAUAAUUGGAAAAUAUACGAAAUCAUAUUAAGAAGUUUUCUUUUAUGUAUUUGAUAUUGCACUUUUUAACUCACAUAGUUUGUUCGACAAAAUAAAUAAUAGAAAAAAAACAGAAUUACACUGAUUAUAGAAUUGAUAUGGCCAAAUCAUUACUGAAAAAUGUACCGUUACCAGAAUAUAAAGGACGAGGACGAUUAUUAAACGGAGAUUUACCACAGAGACUGUACGCGAAACAUUUGGAUUAUUUUCCCAAGUAUAUUGACCCAACACCAUCAAAAUCAAAGCCAUCAAGAGCCUAUAAAGUUCCGAUAAAAAUAAAAAUAAAAAAUAAAAAGAAAACCGAAUGUCUGGAUUAUCUUAUCUUGCCCAUCUAUGAGAUAGUUAUUAGCCCGGCCACGUACUUCACCUGGGUUCAGCUGCAUGAGGAUUUCCCCGUAAUUCGUUUGCCGUACAGAUCAGUAAGUCUAAGAUAAGUAUUCUUGUCGAGUAUGCAAAAUUUCAUAUGUUGUGUUUGUGUCCGUUCCUAUGUUGUGUUUCUUGAUACGGAGCUUGACUUUCCUGAAGAACAAAAGUGGCAAGCAUAUAUUCACUAAUCUUGUCUUUUAGUUAUAUUUAAUCCAUUCGUACAAAAGUAUUAAUCACCCAUACAUUUUCCCUAAAUUUGUCUAUCGUUGAUUAACUCCUUAUUAUUUGUCCUUUUUAUAUACCAAAUGUGCCAAAUGAUCCGAAUGGACGAUCAGAUUUCUUUUUUUUGAAGAUUUUCUUAUGGAGGAUAUCACAUCAUUGAUAUUACUCCUAAUUUUGUAUUCCAACUACUCUCAAGUUUCUGUGCUUUUCCUUUCCCGUGACGUAAAUCAUCGAUGUUUGAAGACCUCCUAGUGAGAUCUUGACAUUCGAUAUUCGAAAUAAGUCUAAAUUAUUUUGAACACAUCCUUUGAGCAUUUUAUUUUCCUGAAAAAUUAAGGGUCACCAUAUAUUGUUAAAGGCACUGGAGAUAUCAAAUAUUAGCGUGUUAACGUAUCUUUUUGUUGAGUCGGAAGUAAUUUGGCGCAUCUUUACGAUUGCACAUUCUAUUGUACGUUCCGAGACGAAACUGAUACUGUAAUUUCCAUAGUUUCUCGAAGACUUCUUUUUCAUUCUUUCUUUUCUAUGAAUAGUAUAAGUUGUUCUUUGUACCAACGCACAACUUGAAUUAAUUAAUUCCUUCACUUAUAAAACCAAACAUUAUAAGUAAUAUUACGAAUAUAUACUUGUUGUUUGAACAAUCUUGGAUAAAAUGAUAGCACAUGUGUCUUUCUGCUAUCUUUAAUUUCUCGAAAACAAUUUAAAAUUUCUAAAUGUAGCAAAUAGUAUAUAAAUAUCAGGACCCAAAGAAAAGAAAUUUGUUAUUAGAUAAGAUCAUUGCUUUUGACAUUUAUUAUAUAUAAAUGAAAAUCUAUUUCGGAGAUGAAAUUAAAGUACAUUAGAAUCAUACAUAUAAUCAUCCAUACAAAAUGUAUACGUAUAUUUAAGCCAACAAAAAGUUUACGUCCUAAUUCAUAUGAAAUUAAUAGUGAAUAUAACUGUCUUCGUUCUUUAUAACUUCGAUCAUUCAGUGUGGUAAAGAUUUGUACGACUUUCUGAUGGUACUUUUGAAAUCAAUUAUUCCAUUCUAUUAUAGUUAAUUCUUUUAAUUGUAUCUUAUUAUCUCCCCAUCCAUUCUUGUACACAGCAUGUACAAAUUCUCCCCUUACAAUUCUCGAUUAUAUUUAAUCUUGCUCCAGGUCAUGGUAUAACUGAAAUGUUUUCUCUUGUAAAAAUGUUUCUAUAACUUUAGUUUGAUGAACGAUGGCAUUAUCAUGCUGGAAAAUAAAUUGAUCUUUAGUAAUUUGUUAUGCGUGUCUCAAAAUAGGAAACUUAGAAACUUUCUAUAAUUGUGUUUAUACUAUUGAAAAUUAGUAAAAGAUUUUUCUGUGAUCCCAGAACCUUUAUAUCCGCAAGUGGAAAAUGAAAAGAUAUUUUAUGAAAUUGAGAUUAUUAGAAUUCGUUCGAGAGAUUAAAGAGACUUUCGUAUCAUCGACGAUUUUAGUUUUUCUAAAGUUUUGAUUAGAGUUGGCUGUAAAUAUAAAGUAGAAGAUUGACAUAGAACAUACACAGUUUGCGUCGCUAGGAAAGGUCCAACAGGAAAAAAAAAGAGAAAUGCAAAUUUACAAUGUAGAUAUGCCUUUUGAACAAGUGUAAAUGGAUAAUUUAGAUCGGUUGUCGAAGUUUUCACGAGAGAAUAGGUUUCUAUUAAUAGUAGUAGACUGUUACAUCAAGUGAAUAGAAGCAUUUCCAUUUAGGAAUUUUAAAAAUAGUAAAUAAGAUUUUUGUUGAGCAGAUUGUUUCAAAACAUAGAAUACCGUUAGAAUUAUACAUAGAUCUGGAUAGUAAUUUCGAAUCUAAGUUAUUCAAGGAAAUUGUAGAGCUGUUAGGAAUCUGCAAAGCUAAGACAAUAGCAUUACAUCUGCUAUCAAUAGUGGCAUGAAACAUCAGCAUAAGAUAAGAAUAGAUUAUUCAACGAAAUUCUUUAAUCAGCGCCAAAGGAGUUGUGAUCGAUGGAUUUCUUAUAUUUAUUGGCCUAUAGAUUUGCAAAAUAUGAGACAAUCGGAUUAUCUGCAGCAUAGAUGCUUAUUGCAAGAGAUCUGAAGAUACCAUUAGAUCUUCUUCAGAAUUGUCCAUCUGGAUGAAAGGAGGAGAAUACGCUUUAUGCAGAUGGACUGAGACUCAAGAUGAAAUUAGACGAAAUCCACGGAAUCAUGAGAUAGCGAAUAAAAAUGAAAUCUUCCAAGAUGAAGAUCUGGUGUGAUUGAGAAGUGAAUAAGACAAAUUUAUAAGAAGGUCAAAAGAUGUGAUUGUUCAACACUGAACUCAGAAAAGGCAAAGCGCAGAAUCUUGAAAGUAAUUGGGAAGAACCAUACAAAACUUUAUGCAAUUUCGACUAGAAAAAGAAGUUAUAGUAAUUAUGACAUGAAAAAACGAUCAUUAUUGAUCAAGAUUUAAAAAAUGUACUGAAAUGGACUCACUAAGAGAUCUGGUAGAAAUUUUAGAAGUACGACAAAAGGUAAAUAACAUCAUAUUACUUAUAAGGUGUUGAUAAAAGCACACUAAUAGAUGCCGGAGCAUCGUACGAAAAUCUAGGCCGCAAAAAAUGCUGCUAUUAGCAAUCGCGGCAUUCUUCCGAGGUAGAACUAAACGACGCGUUAGGAUGGAUUGCCUAUUAUCACGGAUAUCGUAUUCCGAUACUUCAGUUUUGUCAAGGUAUGCGAAAGGACCCAAAACAUCUUAUCAUGGAUUAUGAAGUCUCCAUUAGUAGGGUUAACUAUUGGUUUGGUCAAUAGGUAAUGUAACAGUAUUGUUGCAUAUUUACAAUAGAUAUCAUACCUAUAUUAACGAUAACCCCAAUGAAAUCCCAAAAUUCAUUCUUUUCACAUCAUGCCACGUUUUCUAAAUAGA